rnacentral:lncRNA from 1 species
UUUUUAAAAUUUUCAUUCUUUCAUUUGCGCCGAUUUCAUUUUUUCAUUUGCGCCGAUUUCAUUUUUUCAUUUGCGCCGAUUUCAUUUUUUCAUUUGCGCCGAUUUUUUAUUUGCUCCUAAUUGGAUUUACAGGUAAGUUAAUACUUGUACAUGUACUAUACCGUGCAGGUAUAUUGGUAAAAUCUGUUUAUAAACAUACUAUAUAGGUUUUAGUUAAUUUUGAUUCAUAUUGUUCUGAACUUUGCUGUAAUUGAUGGACAUAUUGCACACUGCAACGAGCCGAGGAGUCAAUUUUUUUUAACCAUCGGCGGCCACACACAUAAGUACGUUAGCAAGACAAAGAAAAGAUGGAUUACGUUAUUGACAAUUACAACAAAUAUAGAAGAGACGAAAUCACAUGAAAGGAACAUAUUAGAUAUGUUGCCUAUAAAUACUCAGCAAGAACAGAUUUAUGAUUUUAAUGUCUUCCGUUUUUAUGGAUUUGAAUGCUGUAAAUAGAUUUUAAAAAGUCAUUUUAGUAUAAACCAGA